rnacentral:lncRNA from 1 species
AUGUUCAUUAACUUCUCCACGACUACAGAGGGAACUAUAAAGGUAAAAGCAGAAAACGUGCUGAAAACCCUAAGAGUUAAGUUCCCCUCCGUUUUCAAAAAAGGGAAAACUUAUUCGAUAAUACAAAUUAGGGAGUACGCCAGCCAAUUAGAUCAAAUUGAUAUCGACGCACUAGCGAUAUUUCGCGAAAAACAUCAUAACGAGAAAGAGACCCCUACAGAGUGGGAUUUCGACGAAAAGGGUAGAAUAAAAAAUAUUUAUAGCGCAAAUUCGGCAGCUUUAAGAUUAGAACUAGCAAAAAGAGGUUACAGUUACAAUAACGAUUUGCGGGUGGAAGAUAAUCGAAAGAUAUUAGCGGAGCUAGAGCGUAAAAAAUUCGAAAAUCAGGAAAUUUUAGAUAAUUGUGGAGAAAAUUCAGAGCAUUAUUACGAAAGACCAAUCCAGAGUUUCGACACAAAGGAGACCCCGAAUUAUACUUCAACUCCUGCGGGGACAGCGAGUAUAGACGACUUUACUUCAUUUUGGAACGAUUUUACAGGUGAACAAAAGGACCUAGUCAAUCUGUACGAAGAUCGAGAACCUUCGCGAGAAUCUAGUUCAGUUAGUAAUUUUUCAAAGGGCACGGUUAAAGACCCAAAUACGGCUAGGAACUUGCACGUCUACGAAAACACAGAAAAUAAUAUGGCACUGGCGAUUCCUAACGAUUUUAAAAAAUUCCUUAAGGCAUUCGAGGAUGCUCCCCAAAAGUUUUCUGGUGAUGGUUCGUUAAGUAUAAUAAGUUUUUUACGAGACUACGAGAGAUAUACAAGAGGCGAGAAUGAUCAAUACCAGCGCGAGAACAUCAGAAAAUUUUUGACGGGAAGAGCAAAAGCUUUCUAUGAUAAUGAGGAGGAGGUUUUUGAAGGACUCGCGACUUUUAAAGAAGUUAAAGAUAAACUGGAAAGGGAAUUUGGAAACAAGGAUCUGGACUGGUAUAAAUUUAAAAAUCGUAAACAAGGGGAUUUUGAGGACCCUUUAAUCUACAUCGAAGACAAAAGAACACUGGCUAAACGUCUAAAUAUUAGAGCUUCCGAAAACACGAUGACAAAAUUGAUUUUAGAUGGGCUUCAGGAGAAAUAUCAAAAUGCGAUAGGGAUGUUUAGUAAUGACUCAUACACGGAGUUAAAAACCAAUGUUACGAGAGCAAAGCAUAUGUUGAAGGAAGACAAUUUUUAUACCAGUAAAACAGUGAAUGAAAUAAGUGAAGUUAAUCAUAAUCAAAUACACAGGGGGCAAUUUAAUGACCACGCAAAACUUGAAACUAGAGUAAAAGAGCUGGAAGGAGGAAUGGGAAUUUUAGCUGCGAAAGUAGAUUUAAUUCAGGGGCAAUCUGAUGGAAUAGAGAAAAAACUGGAAUCCAUAUCAGACAAUUUCAUAAAAUUGUGGCACCAUUUAGGUGUUUCUAAUCAGUACCAGCCGCAGAGUUUCCAAAUUUCCCCUCAGAGUCUUCAACAGCCUUCUCAGCAGGUUCAACCGAAUUUUAACAACCCUCCAGGAAAUCAGGCUUUCAAGCUUCACAAAAAUCAAUGUAAUCGAUGUUUCAGGAUGGGGCAUUGGGGCUACCAAUGCCAAACAAACCCUCUGGAUAACCAAAACAAUCAAAAUGGAAAUAAUUAUCCAAAAAACGGGGUUUUCCCCGGCCAGAGUUAA